UACAGAAGCCCCAAGCGUUACCCGGAAUCACUGGGCGUAAAGGGUGCGUAGGCGGCUAUAUUAGUCGGGUGUUAAAUCCUCGGGCUCAACCCGAGAAUCGCAUUCGAAACGGUAUAGCUAGGAGAAGUGAGAGGUGCAUGGAACUCAAGGUGUAGGGGUGAAAUCCGUUGAUAUCUUGGGGAACACCAAAUGCGAAGGCAAUGCACUGGCGCUCUCUCGACGCUGAGGCACGAAAGCGUGGGUAGCGAAUGGG
rnacentral:misc_RNA from 1 species